UUUCGACAUCCUCUUUUAUCAUUUCAUCUCAUGCGAAUCAAUAAUUAUACAGAAUGAAGCCAUUACUUUUGACAGAGAUUACAGACAAGAGACUGCUCCAUUAUUUUACUUUAUAGCCAGGAAGAAUAAUGACCCCUAAUCCGAUUUUUGUUGCCGGCAGAUAUAUCGAGAGUUGGAGCAAAGUAUGAAGGAAGAAAAAAAAAUCGAUAGAAAUAGUUCAAGUUCAAAAAUGAAUAAUUUUCUGACAAAAAUCAUAUUCAUCAUAUUCGAUGUUAUUCGAUGUAACAAGGAAACUAUUAUACCUGGCCGUAGACGCCGUAGAAUUUGCAUAGAAAAAUGUAAAAUUUCACGAUCCAGGAGCGUACGCAGUUUCUGGAAUGAAAUAUACGAAGAUGGCCGCAACGUGCACCGCUUGAAGAUUUUCCAAAGUUGCCAACAACCGUUUCACAGGUCGUCGCGAGGGCUGAUCUGGUCGAAGAAUUGAAAACUUCGUCCAAGAAAAAUCGAUCCUUUGUCCUUGAGAUAUGGGCCCAACGAAACGACUUGUACCUAUCACGUUUCAGAUAGAUAACGCAGUAGCAUACUUGCGAGUAUGUAACUAUCACCUACAUCAACCAGUAGUCCCUAAUUGGAACUUCCGGCAAGGGUAAUUUUACGAUUUACACUCCGGAGAAGAGGAUCCUCUUUUACUCGAUCAAACACAGAAAUUCUCCGUCAAUCUCGAUCGAAAAUCAACAAUUUAAAAUGAACAAUAUCAGAACGUGUGAUAAAGUGAAACUUAACAAGUGCAACAGAUAAUUUAUGGUGUAAACUUUAAGAAGAAAUGUUAUCUAUGAUUUUCGCAAAUUCAUGACUCAGGAAAUUUAUCCGCUUACUGUGUCCUUCCGUUCUUGGAAAUGGAACGGAAAUCCGUGAUUCGAGUUAGAAAACAUAAUCAAACGAUAAAAGCGCGAGAAAAAGAUGUUACUCUAUUUUUAACAAUCAAAUUGAAUUCUCUACCAUACAACUAUUAUAUAUACAUAUAUAUAAUUCUAAAAUAAUAAUGAUAAAGUAUAGUAAUAAACGGUAUAAUAUAUA